CGCCUUAGUAGAGAGGCAGUCGAGAUGGCCUUUGCUGAGCUUUCUAGCGCCUCUGCUGGGAGACUGUUGUGGCGCUCUCUGCUUACUGAUGUACAGACGGUUUUCGAGUAUAGUCCUUAAAAUCCAAGAGGAUUUGUCUGUGGAUACAGAGCUGUAGGCUCAGGGGUCCUGCAGGCCCCCAGCUGUUUUUGUUUGUUGGACAUGUCACCUCUUCAAGUGCCACCAGAAAUAAAAGUCUUGAAGCCUUUU